rnacentral:tRNA from 1 species
CGCUGUGAAGCUAGAUAGGAACGAGCAAUAGUCUUUUAAGCUAUUAACGGGUGGCUCCUAACCACCUUCAGCGA